GACGAACGCUGGCGGCACGCUUAACACAUGCAAGUCGAACGAGAGAAGAGAAGCUUGCUUUUCUGAUCUAGUGGCGGACGGGUGAGUAACACGUGAGCAAUCUGCCUUUCAGAGGGGGAUACCGAUUGGAAACGAUCGUUAAUACCGCAUAACAUAAUUGAACCGCAUGAUUUGAUUAUCAAAGAUUUAUCGCUGAAAGAUGAGCUCGCGUCUUAUUAGCUAGUUGGUAAGGUAACGGCUUACCAAGGCGACGAUCAGUAGCCGGACUGAGAGGUUGAUCGGCCACAUUGGGACUGAGACACGGCCCAGACUCCUACGGGAGGCAGCAGUAGGGAAUAUUGCACAAUGGAGGAAACUCUGAUGCAGCGAUGCCGCGUGAGGGAAGAAGGUUUUAGGAUUGUAAACCUCUGUCUUCAGGGACGAAAAAAGACGGUACCUGAGGAGGAAGCUCCGGCUAACUACGUG
rnacentral:rRNA from 1 species